rnacentral:lncRNA from 1 species
AGUGAUUAUUUAUUUGAAAUAUUAUAAUUUGAAAUGCUACAAAUAUAUUUUUGGAUAUCAAAUGGGUUAUUUAAUUCAAAAUAACUCAAAAAAAAUUAUGUGGUCCAAAAUUAUUUAUUGAAAUACUUUAUCAAAACCAUGAUUGUUUUUGUAACGAAGAAUUCUUUUGACGAGUAUCACAUUUAGUAAAGUUGUCGUUAGUUCAGAUGAGAUUAAUGUGCUAUCAUAUGGGGCGAAAUGAUUAUACAUUAUGGAUUACGAACUUAAGAUCUCUAAAAACAAAAUCAGACAUUAUAAUCAUUCGACUACAAAUCUAUUUAAAAAAAAUCCACAAUGGUUAAUUUGUUAUAGAACACAAUAAUGAUGUAUUGGGAUGUGAUUUUUGGUGAAGUGUGAGAAAGAGUAUAGUGUUAGAUGAUACUACUUGGAUGAAAAUCGUGUGGUAGUAUUGUACAUGGGUCAAAAGAUGGGUGGGAUGGUGGUGGAUGUCCCAAUGUGGUGCUGACAUGAAAGUAACAAAACAAUGGGGAAAAUGUUGGAUGGA